rnacentral:rRNA from 1 species
CAGUCGCCGCGGGAAUACAGAGGGUGCAAGCGUUAAUCGGAAUUACUGGGCGUAAAGCGCGCGUAGGUGGUUCGCCAAGUUGGAUGUGAAAUCCCCGGGCUCAACCUGGGAACUGCAUCCAAAACUGGCGAGCUAGAGUAUGGUAGAGGGUGGUGGAAUUUCCUGUGUAGCGGUGAAAUGCGUAGAUAUAGGAAGGAACAUCAGUGGCGAAGGCGACCACCUGGACUGAUACUGACACUGAGGUGCGAAAGCGUGGGGAGCAAACAGGAUUAGAUACCCCAGUAGUCCCUGUCUCUUAUAU